UACGUAGGCAGCAAGCGUUGUUCGGAGUUACUGGGCGUAAAGAGUGCGUAGGUGGUGCCCUAAGUCUGUUGUGAAAUCUCCCGGCUUAACUGGGAGGGUGCGGUGGAAACUGGGGUGCUUGAGUGUGGGAGAGGUAAGCGGAAUUCCUGGUGUAGCGGUGAAAUGCGUAGAUAUCAGGAGGAACACCGGUGGUGUAGACGGCUUACGUGGACCACGACUGACACUGAGGCACGAAAGCGUGGGUAGCAAACGGG
rnacentral:rRNA from 1 species